CUAGUCUAAGGUCGUAGGAGGUUAUACAGGCAAAUCCGUAUAACAAUACUCCGAGAACUGAAAGGCUUUUUGAAGUCUUCGGAUGGAAAGAAGAACCCCUGAUGCCGUCGAGCCAAGAAAAGUUUCUAAGUUUAGCUAAUGUUGCCCGUACCGUAAACCGACACAGGUGGGUGGGAUGAGUAUUCUAAGGCGCGUGGAAGAACUCUCUUUAAGGAACUCUGCAAAAUAGCACCGUAUCUUCGGUAUAAGGUGUGCCUCCCUUUGUAUUAGAAUUCACUUCGAAAGCAAAGAAGGUUACAACAAAGAGUCCCUCCCGACUGUUUACCAAAAACACAGCACUCUGCUAACUCGUAAGAGGAUGUAUAGGGUGUGACGCCUGCCCGGUGCUCGAAGGUUAAUUGAUGGGGUUAGCAUUAGCGAAGCUCUUGAUCGAAGCCCGAGUAAACGGCGGCCGUAACUAUAACGGUCCUAAGGUAGCGAAAUUCCUUGUCGGUUAAAUACCGACCUGCAUGAAUGGCGUAACGAGAUGGGAGCUGUCUCAAAGAGGGAUCCAGUGAAAUUGUAGUGGAGGUGAAAAUUCCUCCUACCCGCGGCAAGACGGAAAGACCCCGUGGACCUUUACUACAGCUUGACACUGCUAUUUGGAUAAGAAUGUGCAGGAUAGGUGGGAGGCUUUGAGUAUAUGACGCCAGUUGUAUAUGAGCCAUUGUUGAGAUACCACUCUUUCUUAUUUGGGUAGCUAACCAGCUUGAGUUAUCCUCAAGUGGGACAAUGUCUGGUGGGUAGUUUGACUGGGGCGGUCGCCUCCCAAAUAAUAACGGAGGCUUACAAAGGUUGGCUCAUAGCGGUUGGAAAUCGCUAGUAGAGUAUAAAGGUAUAAGCCAGCUUAACUGCAAGACAUACAAGUCAAGCAGAGACGAAAGUCGGUCUUAGUGAUCCGGUGGUUCUGUGUGGAAGGGCCAUCGCUCAAAGGAUAAAAGGUACCCCGGGGAUAACAGGCUGAUCUCCCCCAAGAGCUCACAUCGACGGGGAGGUUUGGCACCUCGAUGUCGGCUCAUCGCAUCCUGGGGCUGGAGCAGGUCCCAAGGGUAUGGCUGUUCGCCAUUUAAAGCGGUACGCGAGCUGGGUUCAGAACGUCGUGAGACAGUUCGGUCCCUAUCUGCCGUGGGCGUAAGAAGAUUGAAGAGAUUUGACCCUAGUACGAGAGGACCGGGUUGAACAAACCACUGGUGUAGCUGUUGUUCUGCCAAGAGCAUCGCAGCGUAGCUAAGUUUGGAAAGGAUAAACGCUGAAAGCAUCUAAGCGUGAAGCCAACUCUAAGAUGAAUCUUCUCUAAGCUCUCUAGAAGACUACUAGUUUGAUAGGCUGGGUGUGUAAUGGAUGAAAGUCCUUUAGCUGACCAGUACUAAUAGAGCGUUUGGCUUA
rnacentral:rRNA from 1 species